CGGGACCUACACAUGCAGUCGAGCGAGAACUUCGGUUCUAGCGGCGGACGGGUUAGUAACGCGUGGGAACGUGCCCUUCACUACGGAAUAGUCCCGGGAAACUGGGUUUAAUACCGUAUACGCCCUUCGGGGGAAAGAAUUUCGGUGAAGGAUCGGCCCGCGUUAGAUUAGAUAGUUGGUGGGGUAACGGCCUACCAAGUCUACGAUCUAUAGCUGGUUUUAGAGGAUGAUCAGCAACACUGGGACUGAGACACGGCCCAGACUCCUACGGGAGGCAGCAGUGGGGAAUCUUAGACAAUGGGCGCAAGCCUGAUCUAGCCAUGCCGCGUGAGUGAUGAAGGCCUUAGGGUCGUAAAGCUCUUUCGCCAGGGAUGAUAAUGACAGUACCUGGUAAAGAAACCCCGGCUAACUCCGUGCCAGCAGCCGCGGUAAUACGGAGGGGGUUAGCGUUGUUCGGAAUUACUGGGCGUAAAGCGCGCGUAGGCGGAUUGGAAAGUUGGGGGUGAAAUCCCAGGGCUCAACCCUGGAACUGCCUCCAAAACUAUCAGUCUAGAGUUCGAGAGAGGUGAGUGGAACUCCGAGUGUAGAGGUGAAAUUCGUAGAUAUUCGGAAGAACACCAGUGGCGAAGGCGGCUCACUGGCUCGAUACUGACGCUGAGGUGCGAAAGUGUGGGGAGCAAACAGGAUUAGAUACCCUGGUAGUCCACACC
rnacentral:rRNA from 1 species